AACAUUAUUCUACCAGAGGAAACAUGGAUGACAAACAGUCUGUGUGCAACCACUCCCAGGUGCAGUUGUGCUGACAUUUCUGGUUUGGUUUGCUUUGGAACUCUUUAUAAAAACUGACUUUGGUGAUUUGCUCUAAUGGGGAGAUUUCUGUUCUCUGUUCUGAUGGAGGAGUCAGUUGUUACGUGCUACUCUGCUCGGUGGAUACGCGCCUGGCUACAAGAAAAGGAAG
rnacentral:lncRNA from 1 species